rnacentral:rRNA from 1 species
GCCGCGUGAGGGAGGAAGGCUCUUGGGUUGUAAACCUCUUUUCUCAAGGAAGAUAAUGACGGUACUUGAGGAAUCAGCAUCGGCUAACUCCGUGCCAGCAGCCGCGGUAAGACGGAGGAGGCAAGCGUUAUCCGGAAUUAUUGGGCGUAAAGCGUCCGCAGGCGGCUAAUCAAGUCUGCUGUUAAAGGCCGAGGCUUAACUUCGGUUGAGCAGUGGAAACUGAUUAGCUAGAGUGCGAUAGGGGUAGAGGGAAUUCCCGGUGUAGUGGUGAAAUACGUAGAUAUUAGGAAGAACACCAGUGGCGAAGGCGACUCUCUGGGUUAACACUGACGCUGAGGUACGAAAGCUGGGGGAGCGAACGGGAUUAGAUACCCCUGUAGUC